rnacentral:lncRNA from 1 species
UUUUGGUGUACUUGCUUGAUUAACGUCUACUUCCUCAACGGGGCUGUAAGCUCCAUGAGGUGCACAAAGACUUCAUCUCCCAGUCUCCUUUGCGGUUAGAUUGGUACCAGGAGACUAGCUCUGCCGAUGGGCUGUAACCAGAUGUGGUGUGCAUUACUUCCAAGAACCCAGACCUUCAGAGACCUUGCAGCUUCUGCCUUCGCCAUCUUGAGAUCCUGAGAUACUUCAUGCUAUACAGAAGCCCAGUUUAGUCGACACGAAGGAUAGUCACUGGGCCCCAACAGACAGCCAGUGCCAACUACCAGACAUAGCAAUUCCUCCUGAGGAACGAACAGCUUCUGCACAACACACGCCAGAGGGAUCACACAG